rnacentral:lncRNA from 1 species
GGAUGCGGCACAGCCCGAGGUCCCGGAUCCGUGUCCUGCUGUGGUGCGCAGGCUCCGUGCGCUUCCGCGUACGGGGCCCGGGGACCAGGCCUCGGCUCAGGCACCGUGAGGUGGGUUUUGGGGUUCAAGCCUCAGCUAUGCUGAACGCCUCAGCUACGCGUUCUGUCCAUGAAUGGCAUCCGUUGUGGAACACGCCAUGUGGAUGUAUCCUUCCUGCUGCUGUGGAGGCUCCUGGGUGCGGACUGCACGGCUGCGCCUGCUGUGAGCCUGCUGGGUUCUGGGAGUGUUGUGCGGCCUCUCUCCAGCUCCGCAGUGCCUUUGUUCAUGAUUUGCUAAAUGUCUUCUCUGCCAGUUUUGAUCUUGAGGCCAAAGGAAAGGUGUCCCCCUCCUUUAGGAGGGCAGGCCAUGUUUGAGCUGCGUCCCGCCCAGCGGGCCCCUCAGUGCUGGGUCUGAGGCCAAAGGAAACAUGUCCCCCUUC